CCUACGGGCGGCAGCAGUGGGGAAUAUUGGACAAUGGGCGAAAGCCUGAUCCAGCCAUGCCGCGUGUGGGAAGAAGGCCUUCGGGUUGUAAAGCACUUUCAGUGGGGAAGAAAGCCUUGGGGCUAAUACCCUCGAGGAAGGACAUCACCCACAGAAGAAGCACCGGCUAACUCCGUGCCAGCAGCCGCGGUAAUACGGAGGGUGCGAGCGUUAAUCGGAAUUACUGGGCGUAAAGCGCGCGUAGGCGGUCUGAUAAGCCGGUUGUGAAAGCCCCGGGCUCAACCUGGGAACGGCAUCCGGAACUGUCAGGCUAGAGUGCAGGAGAGGAAGGUAGAAUUCCCGGUGUAGCGGUGAAAUGCGUAGAGAUCGGGAGGAAUACCAGUGGCGAAGGCGGCCUUCUGGACUGACACUGACGCUGAGGUGCGAAAGCGUGGGUAGCAAACAGGAUUAGAUACCCUGGUAGUC
rnacentral:rRNA from 1 species